CUGAUGCAGCCAUGCCGCGUGUGUGAAGAAGGCCCUAGGGUUGUAAAGCACUUUCAGUAGGGAGGAAAGGUGAUGGUUUAAUACGCCAUUACUGUGACGUUACCUACAGAAGAAGGACCGGCUAACUUCGUGCCAGCAGCCGCGGUAAUACGAGGGGUCCAAGCGUUAAUCGGAAUUACUGGGCGUAAAGCGUACGCAGGCGGUUCAUUAAGCCAGAUGUGAAAUCCCCGGGCUCAACCUGGGAAUUGCAUUUGGAACUGGUGAACUAGAGUCUUGUAGAGGGGGGUAGAAUUUCAGGUGUAGCGGUGAAAUGCGUAGAGAUCUGAAGGAAUACCGGUGGCGAAGGCGGCCCCCUGGACAAAGACUGACGCUCAUGUACGAAAGCGUGGGGAGCAAACAGGAUUAGAUACCCUGGUAGUCCACGCCGUAAACGAUGUCUACUCGGAGUUUGGUGCCUUGAGCACUGGGCUCCCAAGCUAACGCAUUAAGUAGACCGCCUGGGGAGUACGGCCGCAAGGUUAAAACUCAAAUGAAUUGACGGGGGCCCGCACAAGCGGUGGAGCAUGUGGUUUAAUUCGAUGCAACGCGAAGAACCUUACCUACUCUUGACAUCCAGAGAA
rnacentral:rRNA from 1 species